rnacentral:rRNA from 1 species
AGGGCCCCACCAGGAGGGGAGCCUGCGGCUUAAUUUGACUCACCACGGUGAAACUCACCCGGCCCGGACACCGUAAGGAUUGACAGAUUGAUAGCUUUUUCUUGAUUCGGCGGAUGGUGGUGGAUGGCCGUUCUUAGGUCGUGGAGCGAUUUGGCUGGUUUAUUCCCAUAACGAACGAGACUCUAGCCUACUAAUCCGCUCCCAAUUCGCCCCUGGGGGGGGGCCUUUUUAAAGGAGUUUUCGGGGUGAGGCCCCCGAAGAUUGAGCAAACUCAGGUUGGGUGGGCCCUUAUCAGUGCGGGCUUUGCAGCCCGCUUAACUGGGAAAAAUCCCGGUUUUUUGCCUUCCCCAAAAGGGGUGGGAAAGCCCUUUAAAAUUUGCCGGGCUUUGGAAUUUGAAAUUGCCCAUUUAUUCCCUGCACUCGGAAGUUCAAAUGAGGGGAAAGGUUUCAGUCUCACUUUUAGUGCCGCCCAGCCCCUUUGCCCACAACCCCCGGACAUCGCCGGGAAAGAAGGCCUUU